rnacentral:rRNA from 1 species
ACACGUAGGGGGCGAGCGUUAUCCGGAAUGAUUGGGCGUAAAGGGCGCGUAGGCGGCCCGGUAAGUCUGGAGUGAAAGUCCUGUUUUUAAGAUGGGAAUUGCUUUGGAUACUGUCGGGCUUGCGUGCAGGAGAGGUAAGUGGAAUUCCCAGUGUAGCGGUGAAAUGCGUAGAGAUUGGGAGGAACACCAGUGGCAAAGGCGACUUACUGGACUGUAACUGACGCUGAGGCGCGAAAGUGUGGGGAGCAAACAGGAUUAGAUACCCUGGUAGUCCACACUGUAAACGAUGAAUGCUAGGUGUAGGGGGUAUCGACCCCUUCUGUGCCGCAGUCAACACAAUAAGCAUUCCGCCUGGGGAGUACGGCCGCAAGGUUGAAACUCAAAUGAAUUGACGGGG